GUCAGGCAUGAGCAUUCGGAAUAAACGCUGUCUUCAGGAGGUGCACAAAGCGGCACAUUAUGUAAUCAAACAUUAUGUGAAUAAACUCAAAAGCAAUUGUCGUAACCUAAACGUUAGCGAGUUUUCAAAAAAUACUACAUGCAUAUUCAAAUGGGCAAAUUAUCG